rnacentral:rRNA from 1 species
AGUGAACGCUGGCGGUAGGCUUAACACAUGCAAGUCGAACGGCAGCACAGUAAUAGCUUGUUCUUACGGGUGGCGAGUGGUGAAUGGGUGAGGAAUACAUCGGACUCUACACUUUGGUGGGGGAUAACGUAGGGUAACUUAAGCUAAUACCGCAUACGACCUACGGGUGUAAGCAGGGGAUCUUCGGACCUUGCGCGAUUGUAUGAGCCGAUGUAGGAUUAGCUAGUUGGCGGGGUAAAGGCCCACAAAGGCGACGAUCCGGAGCUGGUCUGAGAAGGCGAGCAGGCACACCUGAGCUGGUGCACGGUCCAGACGCCUACGAGAGGCAGCAGUGAGGAAUACGGGACGAUGGAGUGAAGCCUAAUCCAGCCAUACCGCGUGGGUGAAGAAGGCCUUCUGUUUGUAAGACCAUGGUGUUGGGAAAGAAAAGCAGCAGCUGAAUACCCCACGUUUCUGACGGUACCCAAAGAAGAAGCACCGGCUAACUUCGUG